CUAAGUUUGAAAGAUGGUUUGUCUCCUCUGCUGCUAACGUCAUACAAAUCCUCUUUUCAUCUCUCCCCCUAGGGUUUUCACAAUCCAAUAAAAAAUCAUCAAAACAGAUACAGAAAUUGAAGAAGACGACGGUCAUCCUAUCUGUAUUUAUAGUUAUUUUUUAUUAAAUUUAUAGCGAUAAUAGUUUAAGUUUAUAUAUAUAUAUAUACAUCCAUAGAUACAGACCUAUACAUAUAUAUAAAUUACAUGAAUGGAAUCCUCAUGCUUAGAUGAUCUCAAUACCUUAUCAUCUUCAUCUUUAUGUUCUCAAAUCCAUCAAAAUGAUAGAAAUGUGCUUCAUUUGCUAGCAAGGAGAGAGAUAGCUCCUAGAACUACAAAGUGCUUACCAAAAAGGCAGUGGGGAGAGGUUUCUAAUCGCAGGUGUCAGUCAUCUGUUAAACCCGAAAGCGAAAGAGCUAGGAACUCAAGACGUGAACUUCUUUCAUGGGUGGAAGCUGAGUCUUUGCAGAGUUUAUCAGCUAAAUAUUGUCCUUUGGCGCCUUCUCCAAGGUCAACGAUUGCAAUAGCCUUCAGUGCAGAUGGAAAACUCCUUGCAUCUACUCAUGGCGAUCAUACUGUAAAAAUAAUCAACUGCCAUACUGGGAAAUGUGAAAAGGUGCUGAGUGGUCAUCGAAGAACUCCAUGGGUGGUUAGAUUCCACCCACUGCGUCCAGAAAUACUUGCUAGUGGAAGCUUGGAUAAUGAAGUUCGAAUAUGGAAUGCAAAUACAUCGGAAUGCCUAGGGUCUCGUGAUUUUUACCGUCCUAUUGCUUCCAUCGCCUUCCAUGCUGAAGGAGAAUUUCUUGCAGUUGCUGCAGGUCAUAAGUUGUAUUUAUGGCAUUACAAUAAUAGAGAGAUUUUGUCACCUGCUAUUGUAUUGAGGACAAGACGUUCUCUUCGUGCUGUGCACUUCCAUCCACAUUCUGCUCCAUUUUUGCUAACUGCCGAGGUCAAUGAUCUUGACUCUCCGGAUUCUGCCAUGGCACCCGCAACAUCUCUAGGCUAUUUGCAUUAUCCACCUCCUGCUGUAUAUAUUGGAAACAUGCAUUCCAUUGACCGUCUAAGUUUAGCUGCGGAGCAACCAUUGAUGCCUGUGCCUCUCUUUUGCUCUCCUCCUUAUGUAAAUGCCAAUCCAAGAGCACACCUACAGAUUGCCAGUAGACCCAUUGAAGAUGUCAACAGUCAGUUAGAAUCUUCUGAUAGACUUCAAGUUCUUGCAAAUGCCACAGAACUGUAUGAGCAGAUGAUGGCUUCUUCUGUUCCUCCAUAUACUACUCAUAAUACAGAAGUUAAUUUAUCGAAUCCAUAUCCCGGUGAAUUACAAACUUCUUUACUUACAACUGCUAUGGAUGUCACUGAAAAUGGUGCUUCUAAUAUGGACAUAUCUGCUAGUGGAAGUAAUCCCGAACCAAUGUCGAGUCAGAUAGUCCGGCCUAUGGAUGAGGUUAGGCAAGAUCUUCUUAGAGAUCGUGUAUGUUGGGAGCUACCUUUCAUGCAUGGAUGGUUGGUUGGUCAAAGUCAAGCUGGCACCUCAUUGACUACAUUGCCAUCAGAGUCAGCCACCUCUAAUAUGGAGGUCCCGGAGGGUUCAUUGGCUAUGCAUCAUCGUUCAAAUCAACUGCCUCCACAAGCACCCACUUUACGAGAUCUUUCUUCAAAUGGUGCUUCUACUUCUGCUUCACAAUAUAGGCCAAAUGCUAUGGUUAGCGAGACGAAUGUAAGGGGUGAUUCUUUCCCUAUCAUGAGUCGAAUACAGUCUCAACUGUCUGCUUCCUUGACUGCUUCUGCGGCUGCUGAAUUGCCUUGCACUGUGAAGCUAAGAAUAUGGUCUCAUGAUUUAAAAAAUCCCUGUGCGUCUCUGAAGGCUGACCGAUGCCGUUUAACGAUACUACAUGCAGUACUUUGUAGUGAAAUGGGAGCCCACUUUUCACCUUGUGGGCGAUAUCUAGCUACUUGUGUUGCAUGUGUUCUUCCUCAGUUUGAAAUUGAUCCCGGGGUACCAAACCAAUUUCAUCAAGAAAGGGCUGGGACAUCUCCAACCAGACAUCCAAUUUCUGCUCGCCAAGUGAUGUAUGAACUGCGGAUAUAUUCACUUGAGGAGGAAACAUUUGGUUCGGUGCUUAUUUCGAGACCCAUUAGAGCAGCUCAUUGUUUAACAUCCAUCCAGUUCUCACCCAGCUCUGAGCACCUAUUGCUUGCUUAUGGUCGGCGUCACAGUUCUCUCCUGAAAAGCAUUGUUAUUAAUGGAGAUACCUCGGUAUCAAUUUACACAGUUUUAGAGGUAUAUAGAGUUUCAGAUAUGGAACUUGUGAGUGUCCUUCCAAGUGCAGAAGAUGAGGUGAACGUAGCUUGCUUCCACCCUCUUGCUGGAGGAGGGCUUGUUUAUGGGACCAAGGAAGGCAAACUUAGAAUACUUCAGUCUGAUGGUGCUCAUAAGGUAGAAAAGUCCAGACUUGAUUACUUCUAUGAAGCGCAAGCAGUUGAGGUAGAACCAUGAUACAGGUUCAAGCAUUCGCUUUAGAAUGUUAACGCCAAUGCUGAUUAUUACAUCUGAGGAACUGGUUUAGCCAGCUGAAAUGAAGUUGGUUUUACUGUCUCAUCUUCCUUUAUUUAUAGCCUUCUACAUCUUGAGCAUUUGCUUGUAUUAGCAUCGCAGGCCUUUACCUACUUGUUGUAUAUCCUUAUAAAAUAGUUGUUUGUAAUGGCUGCACUUUGUAUCAAUGUAAUUAUUAACAUUUAGUAGCUUGCACCAUUGUGGAGACUGAGAUCGUGGUCCUUGGUCAAAAUUGGAAUUCAUUCUUUUAAGAAUAAAUCUCUUUCAGCAAAGUCAACUUCAGUAAUUUCCUAAA